rnacentral:tRNA from 1 species
UCCCUGGUGGUCCAGUGGUCAAGACUCUGCACUUCCACUGCAGAAGGCACGGGUUCAAUCCCUGGUUGGGAG